AUCCAGCUGACAAGUCCUAAAUAAGAUGAAACAUACGUCCUAGAU
rnacentral:hammerhead_ribozyme from 1 species